ACCGGAAACACGUUCAGCGUUACUCGCGGAGCUUUUAUAAAUUCAUAUUAGCGAUUAUUAUAAAUAUAAAAUAGUGUUUAUAAGUUCUUAUAUACGAAUACAAACACCGCCUUGUAAUUUUUUUAAGCUUUUGGAAGGGUUGGGAUAAAACGCGGAUGCGGACGGACACGCGGACGGACGGACGGACGGACAAAAGGGAUAAAAUGCGGAUGCGGACAAAAAGGAUAAAAUGCGGAUGCGGACAAAAGGGAUAAAAUGCGGAUGCGGACAAAAGGGAUAAAAUGCGGAUGCGGACAAAAGGGAUAAAAUGCGGAUGCGGACAAAAGGGAUAAAAUGCGGAUGCGGACAAAAGGGAUAAAAUGCGGAUGCGGACAAAAAGGAUAAAAUGCGGAUGCGGACAAAAGGGAUAGAAUGCAGAUGCGGACAAAAGGGAUAAAAUGCGGAUGCGGACAAAAAGGAUAAAAUGCCCUAACAUAAUUCGUUAUUUCGGAGACACAAUUCAUAGACUUAGUACACGGUAAAUUCCAGCUGGAGUUUCAGCCGCUUGCCGAAAAUGCAUUGUAAUUUCAUUUUAGUUAGUAUAUGCAAGGUCAUAGAGAAUUGUGUUGGGGUUUUUCUCACCGUAGUAAAAUACCAUUACGGUGGUGUUGAUUUCUGGAUGAAAACAGCAUGAAUGCAAC